rnacentral:rRNA from 1 species
GACAGUGGGGGCAAGCGUUGCUCGGAAUUACUGGGCGUAAAGGGCGCGUAGGCGGGAUGGCAAGUCGGUCGUGAAAUCCCUCGGCUCAACUGAGGAGCGUCGAUCGAAACUGCCGUUCUUGAGGGUUGCAGAGGAGACUGGAAUUCCCGGUGUAGCGGUGAAAUGUGUAGAGAUCGGGAGGAACACCGGUGGCGAAGGCGGGUCUCUGGGCAACUCCUGACGCUGAGGCGCGAAAGCGUGGGGAGCAAACGGG